UAUAUUAAUUAGAGGAUAAAGUUGAUUUAAGGUCCAAAUGUACUAUUGGUAAGACAUACCUUUGCAAUGUUAUCAGAUGGCCCAUUUUAAAGUAUGAGAAUGAAGCUAAAAUGACAAAAACCGAAAAUAGAAACUAGAGGUACAAUGUCGGAGAGAGUCCCAUAGAGCUCUAUCGUUCUUUGAUUCUAAUUGGUUGUUUUGAUAAGCACUUGAAAGUUUGAUCUAAGCCAUAAUAGUCUAAAAUAAAGGUUGUGAAUUGUUAUACAUAUAAUGAUAUAAAUUAAUAGUUUAUUCCAAUGAAAUAAAAAAAAACAUCAAAGUGGAUAAUAAAAUAGUCAUAAUAUUGUAAUAUUAAUUGACGAAAUUACUA
rnacentral:lncRNA from 1 species